GACAGAGGGUGCAAACGUUGUUCGGAAUUACUGGGCGUAAAGCGCGUGUAGGCGGUUCGGAAAGUCGGGUGUGAAAGCCCUGGGCUUAACCCAGGAAGUGCACUCGAAACUCCCGAGCUUGAGUUCUGGAGAGGAAGGCGGAAUUCUCGGUGUAGAGGUGAAAUUCGUAGAUAUCGAGAGGAACAUCGGUGGCGAAGGCGGCCUUCUGGACCAUAACUGACACUGAGAGACGAAAGCCAGGGGAGCAAACGGG
rnacentral:rRNA from 1 species